rnacentral:rRNA from 1 species
UUGGAGGGCAAGUCUGGUGCCAGCAGCCGCGGUAAUUCCAGCUCCAAUAGCGUAUAUUAAAGUUGUUGCAGUUAAAAAGCUCGUAGUUGAAUUUCGGAAUCUGUCCUUCGGUCGGGCUUCACUGUUCGUACUGGUGUGGUGGGUUCUUACCUUCUGAAUAACCAGCAUGCCAUUAAUUUGGUGCGUUGGGGAAGCAGGACUAUUACCUUGAAAAAAUUAGAGUGCUCAAAGCAGGCCAGUGCCUGAAUACAUUAGCAUGGAAUAAUAAAAUAGGACGGCAUGGUUCUAUUUUGUUGGUUUCUAGGAUCACCGUAAUGAUUAAUAGGGAUAGUUGGGGGCAUUAGUAUUCAAUUGUCAGAGGUGAAAUUCUUGGAUUUAUUGAAGACUAACUUCUGCGAAAGCAUUUGCCAAGGAUGUUUUCAUUAAUCAAGAACGAAAGUUAGGGGAUCGAAGACGAUCAGAUACCGUCGUAGUCUUAACCAUAAACUAUGCCGACUAGGGAUCGGACGAUGUUAAUUUUUUAAUGACUCGUUCGGCGCCUUACGGGAAAC